UUCGUCCAUCCCUUGUGCUUCAUGUGCAUGAACUCCAUUCUAGCUCAAUUUUGCUCCAAAAUGCUCCAAAUUGCAUCCUUUUGCUCACUUUGUCUCUAAAACCUGAAAACACAUGAAAAUAGCUUAAAAGACUACUUUAACUAAGAAAACACAACAUAAAUGCAUAAGAACUAGCUAACUAAGGCGCAUAAAUAUGCUCCUAUCAUAAGGUCAGUUUCCAAUAGAUUAGCAAUCUCUCAUAACCCCCGGUUUAGAACGAUCCCUACUUAUCCAUAUUACAAUUGUCAACAAGAGGGUUUAAUUUGUGUGUUAAGUUAAUUUUCGUAUCACAAUUGAUCUGUGCCCUUCACAGGCCCCUAUUUUGGGCUUGCACAUGUAGACGACUUACCUUGUGAUGCAUAAGCCAGCAUGCAAGCUCGACCCGAGACCAAACCAACCCAAUAUUUGGGCCUGGGAGGCACGACACCUAUUUGAUUAGCCCAUACAUGGGCUUUGGUCCAUGUUUUUGGGCCUUAGUUUAUUUGCCUAAUUUUUUUUUGUCCCAAUGCGUUUUAUAAUUUUUCACCCAUAUUUUAAAUUUGGCCCGAAGUCCAAAUAAUUAAUUCAAUUAUAAUUACUGACCUGAAGUUCUAUUUGCAUAUUUCUGUAUAUAUAUUUACGUUUGUCUGCAGGAAUAUAUGAACCUGAAGUUUCUAAAAACAUGCCUUGUUUGAAAACCUGAAGUUUUCCUUAAAAACAUCACCCAUGAAAACCCGAAGCUUUUUCAUAUGUGAAUGGAUUGAUAUUUUUCUCCAUUGCACUAACCAUAUCUUGUCCAUCUAUUUUAUGAUAGGAACAUGUCAAAUUUGAACAAACUCAACUUCACCACUUUGGAAGUCUCUGGAAGGAACAACCUCAAGUGGGUCUAAAAUGUGUAGCUCAUCCUCACUGCAAAGAAUUUGCAACCCGCCAUUGCAGAUGAGACUGACAUGUUGGAGAUAUGCCCUGAAAGUCAAUCUUUGGAAGAAACCUUUCAGGACAAUGUCUAUAUGUAUGGAAAAACUCUAAUACAUCAAAAAGGCAAAGUCACUCAUUAGGACAAUCUCAAUAAUCGAUAUAGGUCCAAGAGGUGAAUCCAAGGACAAGAUCGAUGGAAGAAGUAAUCUAUUGAUGUUAGACUACAGAGACCUUCUUCUCAUAACCAUGAUGUCCAAAAGAGUUCCUAGUCAUAGGAUUGUCGGAGGGACACUGACAAUACAUAGACCAGUACAUACUAUGUCCCCUUCCAAUAGGAAGGAUGGAAAGUCUCAUGCCAUUCGUGUAGUGACACUGAGACAAGUAUGUAGGUGCUCAUUAUGGGAAUGAGUUCACUGAACACAAUCAAACGAGAGUACUUGCAUGGAGGUCUACUCAUAUGUCAAGCAAGUAACUCUACUGGUUGGAAUAAUGUAAGUAAUCCUUUGACCUGAGACAUCAUAGUUGUCUUGGGGAUACGUUGCUGAUCAUUUGAUAAUGAGACGUGACCACAUCUCAUCUUGGAUGUGUUCUAUGCAUUGUUAGGGUCAGUGAUUUAUUCUCAGAGGCAUGUGAAUGAUCAACAAGGGAUAUCUAAUCCUCGUUAUGAGAGGAUGAAUACUCUAAGAUAUGAUUCAGGAAUCUUCGGCCGAAGUAUCGAGCGUAAUGAUGGAAAGCGUUCCUAUACGACUCAAUAGAAUCAUAUAACUUGAUAUAAUCACAUUAGGGGUUUGACAUUAAAUAUCCAUACCCUAGUAAUAUGAUUGUGAGUAUUGUAUUAGAGAAGGAUCGAAUUACAUUGUAAUUCCAACUGAAUAGGUUCUUCGAACAAAUUCUACAUUAGGGUAGCCAUGAUAUAUGGUUAGAUGUCACUCAUGGCUUGUGGGUUCUUCUAGAUUAUUAAAUAAGUAGUCAUCAAAGAAGAAGGAGAAUUGAAAGUAAGUUUUAAUUCGCUAAGUGAUUGGAUUAAUACAAAUCAAUUGGAUUGGUGCCAAUCAGCUCACUGUCUUACUAAUUAGAACCUAAAAUGAUUGUACACUGAAACACUCUUGUAGUGAGACAACUAAAGGAUGAUGGAAUAAAUUAAUUGGAUUAAUUAAGCGUUAUGAUUAAUUAGAAAGUCUAAAGAAAUCAUAGAAGCGAUGAAAGAUCGUUUUGGACUUAAAGAAAAGUUCGGGUUCAUUUGGGCCCAUUAAGCCCAAACCCAUUGGGCUUUUAUUUAAGCAUAGGAUGACUUGAAAUGAUAAAAGCCCAAAGCCCAAACAACACAAAAGGGUCCGGCCAAGGAGAGAGAGAGAGAGUCAAGUUGUUGACUCACUUCUUAGACAUUUAUAAAGGAAGUUUAGUGAAAAGUUUCAUUAGGGUUUUUGAGUGUUCUUUUCCACAAAAGAAGAAAACAAGUCUCUCUCUCUCAACACUUAAAGGCCGGCCACCAUAAGGGAGAAAUAGCUAAUCAUCUUCUCUCCCUUUUUGGUUAUUCCAUUAUCCAUCUCACUACACUAGUGGGUGUGGAUCUUUUAGAGGUCUUCUACUUUGGAGACUAAAGGAGAAAGGAGCUCCAAAUCUUUCAAGGUGGAGGAAGCUAGGAGGGAGGCUAGACUCAAGGAGUUCUAAGAACAAAGAGCUUGGAGGUGGUCCAUCCUUGGUCUCAAGUCUAGAUCUAGAGGUAUAAAACUAUACCUUCACUUUGUUCUUCAAUAUUUUCUUAGAUGCAUCAUAUAUGAACCUAUGCUUCUUGAAGGGGAUUUGCAUGACUAUAGCUUUGAUAUUUUGUGAUAACAUGCUUCUGUUGCAAAUGUAUAUAAAUUUUGAAUUGUAUAUGCAUGCUAGUCACUAGAAAUCCCACAUAAAUCUCAUUAUUUCCCUUAAAGUGGUAUCAGAGCCAAAGGUUUAUAUUUGAUGCGUCCUUUUGGAUUUUAUGCAUAUGGGUUUUAAUUUUAUGUUUGACAUAUUAUUUCUUCAUUCAAAAUAUGUUUAUCUUUUGUUUUUCAAAUGUUGAAAAAAUGUGUUUCAAGAGUUGAAAAAGAUACGUAUGCAAAAAGUGUUUUGGAUGCAUGAAUGAAGAGUGAGUUUUGGAACAAAUUUUGGGGCUUUUGUACCAUAGGGGAGGGCACGGUUUUGGGGGAAUUUUUUGGCUUGUGUUUGUGUUUUCUUUUAAGUCACACACACACACACACACUUUGAAGCCAGAAAGUAGAGGCCUUGUCACUUUUGUUUUUUGGUUUGAAAAACCACCAAGAAAGUACAAAUCUUGAAAUUGUUUUCAUGGUUUUAUUCUUGGUGUUCAUGGUUUUGAUUUUGGUGUAAAAGGUUUUGGUUUUGUGUUCAUACUUUGUUGUUUGAAUUUGGGUGAUAAACUUGCCAUCAAUAGCUUUUCAUUGAUUGACUCCAUCCUAGACUUGACUAGGAGACCUUACACCCCUCUUACCUUUUUAAGCCAACUUGCACAAGUGGGUGACAAGGAUAGCUAGGCCUUUGCUUUAUUUUGAAAUUUAGGGAACAUGUAUGACACACUCCCUCUCCCCCCAUCACAUAACCGGCCACCCUAUUGAUGGGUCCUCUAUGGGCUAUUUUGCAAUUUUAAAAGUUGAUUAUACUUUCUAGUAUUUGCGGUAUGACCCCUAACUUUUCAUAAUUGCAUUUCGGCCCAACCUCUUUAUGAGAUUAAAAUAUUAUGAUUUUAAUUUUGUUUGUAGCUUAAACUCAUCAUAUAAUUAUGCCCAUAUGUACUAAGUCUAAUUGAUUAUGUUGCAUUCCAAUUUAAUUAUUUAAUGUGAUUAAGUAGUUAGUAAAAUGGUUGACUAUGGACUUGUGCCUUAAACGAUAAUUGAGCUAUGAGAAAGGCCGCUAAAUUCAAAUGGUUUGAACCUUGGGAAUGUGUUUUAAUUGCUAUUUGAAUUGGACCUCAACAUGUUAGACAUUAAUCUUUCUCUCCCUCUUAGUAUAUGUAAUUUGUAGGAAUUUGUACAAAUUGGUUUGUAAUUCUUAUUACUUCUUUAUCUCUUUCAAUUAGUUGAUUCCCUCUAGUACUAGACUAGAGUUUCUUU
rnacentral:lncRNA from 1 species